AUGCACGCUGGCGGCGUGCCUCAUCCCUGCCAGUCGAGCGCACAGACGAGGAGCUUGCUCCUCUGACGUUAGCGGCGGACGGGUGAGUAACACGUGGAUAACCUACCUAUAAGACUGGGAUAACUUCGGGAAACCGGAGCUAAUACCGGAUAAUAUAUUGAACCGCAUGGUUCAAUAGUAAAAGACGGUUUUGCUGUCACUUAUAGAUGGAUCCGCGCCGCAUUAGCUAGUUGGUAAGGUAACGGCUUACCAAGGCGACGAUGCGUAGCCGACCUGAGAGGGUGAUCGGCCACACUGGAACUGAGACACGGUCCAGACUCCUACGGGAGGCAGCAGUAGGGAAUCUUCCGCAAUGGGCGAAAGCCUGACGGAGCAACGCCGCGUGAGUGAUGAAGGUCUUCGGAUCGUAAAACUCUGUUAUUAGGGAAGAACAAAUGUGUAAGUAACUAUGCACGUCUUGACGGUACCUAAUCAGAAAGCCACGGCUAACUACGUG
rnacentral:rRNA from 1 species